rnacentral:misc_RNA from 1 species
UCAAUAAGUGUUUUAUGGCACUUUUUAAAUCCAUAUCCACCUUGUGUGCAAUGUCAGUCGAUCUUCUUCAUGGAGAUCGACCAAACAUCAACCUUUAUCUUUUAACUCUUUGUCUGAAAAUAUUAUGAAUAAACAAUUCAAAAUA